CCCGCUGAGUUUAAGCAUAUAAAUAAGCGGAGGAGAAGAAACUUACGAGGAUUCCCCUAGUAACGGCGAGCGAACCGGGAGCAGCCCAGCUUGAGAAUCGGGCGGCCUCGCCGCCCGAAUUGUAGUCUGGAGAGGCGUCCUCAGCGACGGACCGAGCCCAAGUUCUCUGGAAAGGGACGCCUGGGAGGGUGAGAGCCCCGUCCGGCCUGGACCCUGUCGCACCACGAGGCACCGUCAACGAGUCGGGUUGUUUGGGAAUGCAGCCCAAAUCGGGCGGUAAACUCCGUCCAAGGCUAAAUACAGGCGAGAGACCGAUAGCGAACAAGUACCGCGAGG
rnacentral:ncRNA from 1 species